rnacentral:lncRNA from 1 species
CGAUGAGGUUUGCCUACAUAUCUCACAUGCGGUGAGAAUCAGACCCGCGUAGCUCGUCCUGUUUUGACGGAACAAGGGAAACAUGACUUUUUGAAAACAUUAACUUAUUUUCUUUCUUUUUUUAAAAAGAUUUCGGGAGAGUUUCGAAAUGUUUCAAAUACCUAUCUCACUCUUGUUUUUUUCUUGAUUUUCCUCUCGCUGCAUGCAAGUGCAAAUCAAUGGAACGCUCGAAAAGCCUGGAAAAGAUGAGGAAGGAAUUGGCACGGUGGGACUAUGCGGUGAGCGGGGUCUUGUUAAAUCGUUUAUGAGGAUUUGCGAGCAAAUAAAGGAGAAGAUGGCCACCGAUGAGUAUGCUUCUCUCUCUCUCUCUCUCUUGAUUUUUGGCUCUUUUGAUAUGUAAUUUUCUUGGGUUUUGUCUAUUAUUUGGUUAUAAUAAUGAGAUUUUAAUUAUUCUUGUCACAUUACCUUAACGAUUAUAGACCCAUUUGUAAAUUUAACUCAAAUCACUCCCGGGGAAGAAAAUUAAACAAACAUAUACUUGCAUUUCUUACUCGAAUUUUUAAGACUCGAGGCAAUUGGUUAGAUCAUUAUGUCCUCCAUUUUCUUCUUCUAGCGUAUAUGAGUUCCAAAAUUAUAAGGAGAUGACUAUAUAGUUUGAGGAGAUCUUCAUUUGCAAAUUCUCAACUCUGAUUGAUUAUAUAUUCCUUCAGGAUUUCUCUUUGGAAAAUGACUCCAACACCCUUGGUUGAUGCGAAACCAUACAGAUUUUGACGAUUUGAAAGAUAUGAUUGAAAACUUUGACUGGGAUAUUGCAAAGACUAUGCACGGAAGAUUGUACAAAGGUGUCAUUCGCGAUGACAAAAGUGGACAAGUGCUAGAAGUUACUAUCAAGACAUGGGAUUUCUUUUUUCCAAACUAGAGGUACAAUGGUGACCAUCAGAUUUUGUGUAUGUUACAUAUCGGAUCCCGUUUCUCUUUCUCUCUCCCUCUCCCUCUCUCUCUAUCUCAGUAUUUGUGGCUAAACUAUUUAGAAAAUUUGCAGAAUGAGCUUGAAAUAUUGACGGAUAAGAGUGGUAAUCUCUACGA